AUCGUGAAUAAAAGCAAAAAAAUUAACGUUUCUCGUUACUGUCGGCAGAGGGCGUAAUUCGUGACCAGUGAGUGGCGAUGGAAGAGAAGGGAUAUUUAUUCUCGAUCAGUCAAAAUGGCGACUGGAGAUGAUGGCAAUGUUAAUACAAAUUCAGUCCCUUUGUUGAAUUCUUCAUUAAGCAAUGGAUCAAACCAGAUUAAUUCUUUGUCAAACACCUCAAAUUCAAUCUUGACAGUGAAAACUUCAGGACAUCCUCUCUCAGAUUUUCUUUUACAACUGGAAGAUUAUACUCCAACGAUCCCUGAUGCUGUAACAGCAUAUUAUUUAAAUUCAUCUGGAUACGAAGGAUCUGAUCCAAGAAUAGUAAGAUUAAUAUCACUUGCUGCUCAGAAAUUCAUAUCUGACAUAGCUAACGAUGCAUUACAACAUUGUAAAAUGCGUGGAGCAGGACAGAGCAAAAAAGCAAUCAAGGACAAACGUUAUACAUUAACAAUGGAGGAUCUUACUCCAGCUCUUGCUGAAUAUGGAAUUAAUGUGAAGAAGCCUUAUUAUUUUGUAUAAAAGAUACUAGAUUGUAUAAAAUACUCUGACAAUAUUGUAAUUGGCGUUUCCAGACAGCAGCUUUCUUUGCCAUGACUUGGCGUUUCCAGAGCGGGAUUGGACAGCCAUUGGUAUCAACAGAUGGCAUCUUCUCUACAAAAUUAUCAGUUGUGAAUUCAUUAUUAUCCACCAUUUGUUUCUGUAAAUAAAUUUUUAUUCAUUAAAUGAAUCAUAUGAUAUUUGAGUGCAAAUAAAUUUAGUGUAAUUGACAUAUUUAA